rnacentral:rRNA from 1 species
UACGGAGGAGGCUAGCGUUGUUCGGAAUUACUGGGCGUAAAGCGCACGUAGGCGGCUUUGUAAGUUAGAGGUGAAAGCCCAGGGCUUAACCCUGGAAUUGCCUUUAAGACUGCAUCGCUAGAAUCGUGGAGAGGUGAGUGGAAUUCCGAGUGUAGAGGUGAAAUUCGUAGAUAUUCGGAAGAACACCAGUGGCGAAGGCGACUCACUGGACACGUAUUGACGCUGAGGUGCGAAAGCGUGGGGAGCAAACAGG